rnacentral:rRNA from 1 species
AUUGAACGCUGGCGGCAGGCCUAACACAUGCAAGUCGAACGGUAGCACAGAGAGCUUGCUCUCGGGUGACGAGUGGCGGACGGGUGAGUAACGUCUGGGAAACUGCCCGAUGGAGGGGGAUAACUACUGGAAACGGUAGCUAAUACCGCAUAACGUCGCAAGACCAAAGUGGGGGACCCUCGGGCCUCACACCAUCGGAUGUGCCCAGAUGGGAUUAGCUAGUAGGUGGGGUAAUGGCUCACCUAGGCGACGAUCCCUAGCUGGUCUGAGAGGAGAACCAGCCACACUGGAACUGAGACACGGCCCAGACUCCUACGGGAGGCAGCAGUGGGGAAUAUUGCACAAUGGGCGCAAGCCUGAUGCAGCCAUGCCGCGUGUAUGAAGAAGGCCUUCGGGUUGUAAAGUACUUUCAGCGGGGAGGAAGGCGGUGAAGUUAAUAACUUCACCGAUUGACGUUACCCGCAGAAGAAGCACCGGCUAACUCCGUGCCAGCAGCCGCCGUAA